CGUAAGCUGUUUUGUCAGUCGGAUGUGAAAUCCCCGGGCUUAACCUGGGAACUGCAUUCGAUACUGCAUAACUAGAGUAUGGUAGAGGGAAGUGGAAUUUCCGGUGUAGCGGUGAAAUGCGUAGAUAUCGGAAGGAAUACCAGUGGCGAAGGCGACUUCCUGGGCCAAUACUGACGCUGAGGUGCGAAAGCGUGGGGAGCAAACA
rnacentral:rRNA from 1 species